GAAACAUACUUUCAUCAGCAUGUGAAAGUUGGGACAGAUGUAUGUUAGUCAAGCUUCUUCAUCAGUGAUGAUAGAAAAUUUUUUCAUAUUAAACAAAAAUGCCAACUAAUUGUUAAUGAAGAAUUUCCAGCAUAGACAUGGAUCCCCUAAAUCCAUGUGAACAGCUCUUUCUAUUUCAGCAGCCCUCAUAACUAAGGGGCUGCUGCACAUGAAUACAGGGAAAGGGUACAGUAAUAACAGGUUCUAGCUAUUGCUCUCAAGCAGGUUUGCCCCUACCUAGGACCUUUGCAUAUCAAGUGAAGCUACAGCCUCCAUAUGAGGCUCCACUCAAGACAGUCUUCAUACUCUUUCCUCAGCUCUUUGAGACGUCAUCCUGUAACCUUCAAGCACUCACUAGGAGUAUAAAUUGUACAUGUAGAAUUGUUAGCUGUGGAAGGUCCAGCUGGUGUCCAGGUUCUUAGCAUCUCCUACAAAGAAUUGAGCAAGACACAGUGUAGCUUUAUUGAAAGGAGCAGCCAUAGUGUAGCUUUAUUGAAAGUUAUGUACACUCCACAAAGUGGAAUGGGCAGAGCAGGACAGAAUGGUUCAAGGCCCAAGUGUCUGGGGCAGUCUUCUCUUAUACCUUCCCUGCAGACCUGAUUGGAGGUCCUGCCCCAUUGGUUCCUAUUGAUUAUUGUAUUUUCACCUAAUUAGAAUACAGAACUUCUGGGUGAGUUGCUAUAGUGAAAAGCCCUCCACAGAACUUGUGGCUAAUGAUAGACCCAACCUGAUCUUUUCUUAAAAUUGGGCAUCUCGACAUAAAACCAUGAAAAGAUAAUUUCGGCUUUACUACAAAUUACUGCAAAUUCUGAACCUACUUGGAAUGCCUGCCCAUGCCCUGAACUCACCCAUGUCUGGUUUUCCCUGACCAGAUAACAACCCUUUCCUAAACCUUAGUGACGCCUCAUAAAUUCUGGCCUUCCCUGACCGGAUAACGACCCUCUCUGAGUCUCUAAGAUCUCCAUAAAUUCUGAUGUCGGGGCCAGCAAAAAUGUAAACUUGUGUUAUGCUCCUCAGAGUGUUGUUAUCUGUAACCCCCCUUUGUGUAACUUUUUGGGCUAUAAAACUGGGCCACAAAGAAGCCUUGGGGCUGCCUUGUUCCCACCAUUUUGGGGAGGGAGAGGCAGCCCAGCCGGUCGAAAUAAUAAGCUUGCUUUAAUUUGAUUUUAAUUGGAAUCAGUGGUCUUUCC
rnacentral:lncRNA from 1 species